rnacentral:rRNA from 1 species
ACGCUGGCGGCGUGCCUAAUACAUGCAAGUCGAACGCUUCUUUUCCCACCGGAGCUUGCUCCACCGGGAAAAGAGGAGUGGCGAACGGGUGAGUAACACGUGGGUAACCUGCCCAUCAGAAGGGGAUAACACUUGGAAACAGGUGCUAAUACCGUAUAACAAUCGAAACCGCAUGGUUUCGUUUUGAAAGGCGCUUUACGGUGCCGCUGAUGGAUGGACCCGCGGUGCAUUAGCUAGUUGGUGAGGUAACGGCUCACCAAGGCCACGAUGCAUAGCCGACCUGAGAGGGUGAUCGGCCACAUUGGGACUGAGACACGGCCCAAACUCCUACGGGAGGCAGCAGUAGGGAAUCUUCGGCAAUGGACGAAAGUCUGACCGAGCAACGCCGCGUGAGUGAAGAAGGUUUUCGGAUCGUAAAACUCUGUUGUUAGAGAAGAACAAGGGUGAGAGUAACUGUUCACCCCUUGACGGUAUCUAACCAGAAAGCCACGGCUAACUACGUGCCAGCAGCCGCGGUAAUACGUAGGUGGCAAGCGUUGUCCGGAUUUAUUGGGCGUAAAGCGAGCGCAGGCGGUUUCUUAAGUCUGAUGUGAAAGCCCCCGGCUCAACCGGGGAGGGUCAUUGGAAACUGGGAGACUUGAGUGCAGAAGAGGAGAGUGGAAUUCCAUGUGUAGCGGUGAAAUGCGUAGAUAUAUGGAGGAACACCAGUGGCGAAGGCGGCUCUCUGGUCUGUAACUGACGCUGAGGCUCGAAAGCGUGGGGAGCAAACAGGAUUAGAUACCCUGGUAGUCCACGCCGUAAACGAUGAGUGCUAAGUGUUGGAGGGUUUCCGCCCUUCAGUGCUGCAGCUAACGCAUUAAGCACUCCGCCUGGGGAGUACGACCGCAAGGUUGAAACUCAAAGGAAUUGACGGGGGCCCGCACAAGCGGUGGAGCAUGUGGUUUAAUUCGAAGCAACGCGAAGAACCUUACCAGGUCUUGACAUCCUUUGACCACUCUAGAGAUAGAGCUUCCCCUUCGGGGGCAAAGUGACAGGUGGUGCAUGGUUGUCGUCAGCUCGUGUCGUGAGAUGUUGGGUUAAGUCCCGCAACGAGCGCAACCCUUAUUGUUAGUUGCCAUCAUUUAGUUGGGCACUCUAGCAAGACUGCCGGUGACAAACCGGAGGAAGGUGGGGAUGACGUCAAAUCAUCAUGCCCCUUAUGACCUGGGCUACACACGUGCUACAAUGGGAAGUACAACGAGUCGCGAAGUCGCGAGGCUAAGCUAAUCUCUUAAAGCUUCUCUCAGUUCGGAUUGUAGGCUGCAACUCGCCUACAUGAAGCCGGAAUCGCUAGUAAUCGCGGAUCAGCACGCCGCGGUGAAUACGUUCCCGGGCCUUGUACACACCGCCCGUCACACCACGAGAGUUUGUAACACCCGAAGUCGGUGAGGUAACCUUUUUGGAGCCAG